ACAGUGAGGGGUCGCUGUCUGCCCAUGGAAAGAGGCCAGUUUGCAGUAACCUUCCUGAGGUAUUACCCAUUUCUGGCUAAUUCCACGAGAUUUACUUGUAUGAAAAAAGGAAGAGCUCUUCAUUUUACUGACAUGGGGAGGAAACCUACAAAUGAAGACAAUAUAUUGAUUUUUAUUUUUGUAAACAGAUUAUGAAGCAGCAUCAGAUUUAAUGUAUCCAUUAGAAUGGAACCAUUUCCUUUUACUUUGUCGCACUGCCCUAGUAACAACCUGUUAAUCAGAUUACUUUGUAGAUCUAGUUCUAUUUUAAAUACAGAAAUGCAUAGAAAACAA